rnacentral:lncRNA from 1 species
CGGAGGAGCCGGAGCCAGGGGAGGCCGGAGCCCGGGGGGGGCCGGAGCCAGGGGAGGCCGGAGACCGGAGGCCAGCCAGGAGGCCGGACCGGGGGCAGAGCCAGGGAGGCCGGCCGGAGACCGAGGCCGGGGGACAGAGCCCGGGGAGGCCGGAGCCCAGGGGAGAGCCAGGAGCCAGAGCGGAGGCCGGAGCCAGGGAGGGUCGGAGACCAGGAGGCCGGGCCGGCAGGAGGCCGGAGGGGACCGGAGCCAGGGGAGGCCGGAGCCCGGGGGGACCGGAGGCCGGGGGGACCAGAGGCCGGAGGGGACCGGGGAGGCCGGAGCGGCGCAUCUAACUCCGGAGGGCCCCUGAACGGUCGCCGGCCUUGGGAACCCGGCGGAGUAGAUACUCACCAUGGCGAAGUCCGGAAGGAAAGGACGAGAACGGCCGCUCGCGGCUCAAGUCACUCGGGGCGUGCGUCAAUGCGCACGCAGGCCCCCGACGCACUGCCGGCGUAGGAGGCCCCGCCCCAAGGACCCGCUUUUGGAGCUGUCCCCGCCGCUGCCUGCUCAGAAAGGCCAAGGCGCAUGCGCAGAUGCGGAUGACCCUCCCGCGCAGGGCGUCCCCGCGCCGAGAGGCUCCUUUUCGGCUUUGGGAGGGUUAUUUUAGGGGCCGCUAGGGGCGCCAGAGCUGAGGCGCGCUGAGCCUGGAGGCCGGGAGGCCGAGUCCUACAGCGCCCCUGACCUGGCCCGCCCCGGGGAGCCCGCUCCCCCUCGGUAACGCGCAGCCUCCCGGGCGGUAGCAGCCAGCGUCCCACACCGCCCCCCGGCUCCGGGAGCUCCGAGAACGCCCUUCCGGCUCCCGGCCCCAGGAAGGGCCCCAAGCCCCUUUCCCCCGGGGCUGCCCCGCCCCCACCCCGGGUCCGGACCGGACCGUUCUGCCCCAAAGCGCGACGCUGGCCAGACCCGGGGGAGGCGCAGAGAGGACUGGAGGAGGGGUUGGAGGGGGGCAGCCUUUGGUUUCCGCUGGGCUCUAGUUUCAAUGCAAUAAAGGUGGAGCGUGUUCUCCAGAGGGAAGUGAUCUGCAGACUGUGGGCGCCGCCCUGGCUGGGGGGAGGGGCCUUCUCCCCCUCCGCUCCCAGCUCCACUAGGGGGCGACACUGAGGAGGGGGCGCCGGCGCACCCCGGCCCCAUCUAGGGGGUGGGUGCCUCUGGGGCGGCCUGCCCUGGAGCCGGGCUCUGCCCCCACAAAAGCCUGGGCCGGAGGGAUCGCGCCUGGAGGGGCCUGGGAGAGGGGGCAGGGCCUCCCGCGAGCGGCCCCCACAAGCAGGAGCCAUGCCCUCGAAUCCCACAAAGAGGGUCCCAGCUGGGGGUGUCUACAGUGGGUGUGACCCCCCCGGGGGGGCUGGUCGGUUCCCGCAGAAGGGGAUUCCCUCCUGGGGGGGCUGCGGACCCUCGGGCCACUGGCGAGAAGCUGCUUUCUCCCCGCCUGGGACGCCACAGACCGGGGGCUCCCCGUGAGGCAGCGGCCCCAGCCACAGACCCCGGGCUCCUCCUCUCCCGGACCGCCUCCCCCGCAGGUCCUCACUCCAAAGGAAGGGGGAGGCCCGGCGCCCUCAGUGCCCUUGGGCCGGCUGCUCUGCACACCCAGAAGCUGCCCCAAUGUCUGCGGUUGCACACAGCGGGCGGCACCGGCCCCACAAUUGGGGCUCGAGUUCAGAUCCGGCCCGAGGCCCUGCCCCCCAGCUGCGGGCUGGGUGAUUGCCUCCGGAGGCCCUUCCCAGUCAGAACCCCACCCCACCCC